rnacentral:rRNA from 1 species
AGUGAACGCUGGCGGUAGGCCUAACUCAUGCAAGUCGAACGUCAGCACAGUAAGAGCUUGCUCUUACGGGUGGCGAGUGGCGGACGGGUGAGGAAUACAUCGGAAUCUACUUUUUCGUGGGGGAUAACGUAGGGAAACUUACGCUAAUACCGCAUACGACCUACGGGUGAAAUCAGGGGAUCUUCGGACCUUGCGCGAUUGAAUGAGCCGAUGUCGGAUUAGCUAGUUGGCGGGGUAAAGGCCCACCAAGGCGACGAUCCGUAGCUGGUCUGAGAGGAUGAUCAGCCACACUGGAACUGAGACACGGUCCAGACUCCUACGGGAGGCAGCAGUGGGGAAUAUUGGACAAUGGGCGCAAGCCUGAUCCAGCCAUACCGCGUGGGUGAAGAAGGCCUUCGGGUUGUAAAGCCCUUUUGUUGGGAAAGAAAAGCAGCAGGUUAAUACCCCGCUGUUCUGACGGUACCCAAAGAAUAAGCACCGGCUAACUUCGUG